GCUCUACGGUAAUUAGAAAUAGCAGUGAAAAGCAAGAUUAGAUCAUGGAAUUAGUACAUCAUCUAUAUCAGCAAUACCCCUAUCAGGAAAAUAAAUAAAUAUAUAAUUCAUGAAUGUAUACAUUAAGUCAAAGUAUUCUAUUCAUUCAAUUAACUGUUCACUCACUUAACUGUGCAUUUGCACACACACUUUUUCUCAAUUUUAUUUUUAUUGAGAAUAACAGCAAAUGACAAAUUCUUUGUGAAAAAAAAAAUUUUGUGGGGAGGUGAGCAACUGCAAAGUAAGGGUAUAGUUUACCUUAACCUGUUAAGUGUCACAACUAAAAAUACGUUUACUGCGAUCUACUCGGUAGCGCCUUCAACGAGAUAUUACGUUCAAGACUUUAACUGUGCUUGCCAAGCCGUCAGUCCCGUAAUAAUACGUUUACUCGUAUAGAAAGUGUAGGAACAUCAUUUGGUAACACUCUCAGCACACGGGAAACUUAUUUCCAGCCUGGCAACUCUUUCCUGGUGGUCGCUUAUGCUAGAAAACUGCCUGGUCCUGCUGGUUUUCUUUCAGUACGCUUCGGGCGUUUAUUGAGACACAUAAAUUUUCGCGUCCUUCACAAUGAAUUUCCCAAAGAGGAGGCGUAUUUCUUCAGGUGAGAUCAAUCAAAUACUAGAUGAGGAGUCUGAUAUUGAUGACCUAUUUGAUGAUGAGAGCUCUAGUUCUGAAUCCUCCAGUGAUGAGGAUACAAACUUUUCUUCCAAUAGCAGGAGUGAAGAUGACUUUUCUUUGCCGAGUGACUGGACUCCGAGAGAGAGAGAGAGAUCCCGGCGUGAAAUUUACAGUUGAGGAUAAAGAGAACCCAUUAGAAUAUUUUGAGAAAUAUUCUGAUGAUGAAAUCAUUGAUUACCUCAUGAAAGAAACAAACAGAUUUGCAAAUCAGUUUCUAGAUGAGAAUGUAGAACAUUUGUCUCUACAAUCACGAGUACAUAGAUGGUUUGACACUGUGAAGUAGGAUUGUGUGUAGCCCCUUGAUUUAGAGAUUGGCACACGAAAGAAUAAUAGUACAUGUAUGUAUAAUAUUUUUUUAAUUCAGUACGUAUUAUGAAGUCUUUUGAAAUAAAAUAAUUGUAGUAUUAAUUUUUUUUUUACUCCAACAUUUGAUAAUUUCCUACACUUAACUACAGUAUGAAUAAUAAGCAUAAAAAUCAAUAUUAAUUUUGAAAAACUAUCAUCAGUGCUAUGAUCGCUAACUACAAAAAAAGCGUGACGGUACGUUAGCAGCGAGCUCAUCCGGGGGGAACACUUAACAGGUUAAGUGUAAUGACUGUAUUACAAAAUACAAACUUAUCAAUAGAGAAACAAUGUAGAUUUGAUAAAAGGAAAAUGUACAUAUAUGAAUAAAUAAUGUAACUCCCCAGAAACUGUGAUGAUUUUUGCUUUUAAGUAUGAAGGAACUGAAAGUCAGUUUUGUAGUUUGAAAUAUAUUGUUAAGGUGGGUACACACGUGAGAGCCAAACCUUGUAUGUGUAACUGAGUUAUGCAUAUACGGUUACAGGGUGUCAAAAUGUUGAGGACGAAUCGUAACCACGUUAAGCACGUAACUUCAUUUCAAUCCAAUGCGAUCAUCAAUCUGUCUCUGUCCGGGUUGUUUACCGACGAUGGCCACCAUACAAGUAGCAGCUGCCGCAUAUAUUUAUACACAUUAUUUAACGAAGAUGAAGCGAAAUAAAAGAAGAUGGUGGCAAUCAAGGUUAUAUACUAGAAGGGUAGAAUACAGUGGUCGGGAAUUACUCGCUGACAUGGGAUUCCAAGAAUUUUCUGGCCACAGUAAAGUCUGUUCUUCGUAAUAACUAAUAAAUUGAAGGACCUCUUCCUCACUACAAUCAGCCAUGGUAGACAUAUACGUACUGACUGACCAAAACAAGGAACUCUACUAUGGACGGCCUUGUUCAUAGUCUGUGUUAACAAGUUCAGCAACCUCUGUUGUUACGCGUGUAAUACAGGUCCCGUCCACACAUGGCGUAACGUUCAAAGAGACCUCCCUUUGAUUCGGGGCCCAAAAACCGACAAUUGCCGGGACAGAGGGCAAACGGAGCCUCGAACCUCGUGGGUUCGGGGUUCGGGUUCGAGGAACCGUCCACACUUGCGUUUUUGUUAAAAGAAUCGGUUACAAUACAAGGUUCGGUUCGCACGUGUGUACCCACCUUUAGGUUAUAAAGAACUUUAAAUUACUUCUCUUAGUAAUUCCUAAUUAUUUUUCAGAUGGAAAGAAAAAGUUGAUACACGUUCCAUGAAACUUAGAGUCAUAGCACACAUGAUUCAACGAUUGAUAACCUCAAGUGGGUUACCAUGGGCUGCAGACAACUAUUUUUUGAAGAUAAUGUUGGUAUGUGACCAUGUACUGCUAAAGGGACCAGAUGGCUCAUUCAAGCAUAUUGUGAGACAUAUUGCCCGGGCCCGAAAUGAAAAAGAAGGUGGAAAUAAACACGUUGAAGUGGCUUAUGAAGAAAGUUUGGAUGAAGAACAAGACACUGAAAUUGUAGACUACGUUACAAAUAUACCUGCAGCACUACCUUUUAAGCUCUGAAAAACAAAUUCUUUUAAUUUCUUUACAACUCUUAAAAACAAAUUCUUUAAUUUCUUUACAACUCUGAAAAACAAUGAGUCUAAUUUCUUUAAGCUUGAAAAACAAUUAGUUUAAUUUCUAUAAGCUCUGAAAAACAAAUUCUUUAAUCUCUUUUCAACUCUGAAAAACAAAUUCUUUAAUUUCUUUACAACUCCGAAAAACAAAUUGUCUUUAAUUUCUGUAAAUAAGUUUACGAUAAGCUGCUGGUAAAAGAGGAUUUUAUUUUAAUAUGUAAUUGGGUCAAACAAGAAAAUAAAUGUUUAACAUGAA